rnacentral:rRNA from 1 species
UGCCAGCCGCCGCGGUAAUACAGAGGGUGCGAGCGUUAAUCGGAAUUACUGGGCGUAAAGGGUGCGCAGGUGGCUUGAUAAGUCAGAUGUGAAAGCCCCGGGCUUAACCUGGGAACUGCAUUUGAAACUAUUAGGCUAGAGUAUGGUAGAGGGAAGUGGAAUUUCCGGUGUAGCGGUGAAAUGCGUAGAUAUCGGAAGGAACAUCAGUGGCGAAGGCGACUUCCUGGACCAAAACUGACACUGAGGCACGAAAGCGUGGGGAGCAAACAGGAUUAGAUA